rnacentral:rRNA from 1 species
AGUGAACGCUGGCGGUAUGCCUAACACAUGCAAGUCGAACGGCAGCACCUUAAGAGCUUUCUCUUACGGGUGGCGAGUGGCGGACGGGUGAGGAAUACAUCGGAAUCUACUUUUUCGUGGGUGAUAACGUAGGGACACUUCCGCUAAUACCUCAUACGUCCUACGGGUGGGUGCAGGAGAUCUUGGGACCUUUCCUGAUAGAUUUAGCUGAUUUCGGAUUAGCUAGUUGGCGGGGUAAAGGCCCACCAAGGCGACGAUCCGUAGCUGGUCUGAGAGGAUGAUCAGCCACACUGGAACUGAGACACGGUCCAGACUCCUACGGGAGGCAGCAGUAGGGAAUAUUGGACAAUGGGCGAAAGCCUGAUCCAGCCAUACCGCGUGGGUGAAGAAGGCCUUCGGGUUGUAAAGCUCUUUUGUUGGGAAAGAAAAGCAGCAGGUUAAUAUCCCGCUGUUCUGACGGUACCCAAAGAAUAAGCACCGGCUAACUUCGUG